GCGGGUGUAGCUCAGUUGGUUAGAGCGCCGGCCUGUCACGCCGGAGGCCGCGGGUUCAAGUCCCGUCACUCGCG
rfam:Thalassospira xiamenensis M-5 = DSM 17429, complete genome.